UACGAAGGGGGCUAGCGUUGUUCGGAAUUACUGGGCGUAAAGGGCGCGUAGGCGGCUCGGCAAGUUGGAUGUGAAAGCCCAGGGCUCAACCCUGGAAUUGCAUUCAAGACUGCCUUGCUUGAAUUCGGUAGAGGUUGGUGGAAUUCCCAGUGUAGAGGUGAAAUUCGUAGAGAUUGGGAAGAACACCGGUGGCGAAGGCGGCCAACUGGACCGACAUUGACGCUGAGGCGCGAAAGCGUGGGGAGCAAACGGG
rnacentral:rRNA from 1 species